rnacentral:rRNA from 1 species
CUUGGAAGCAGCCAUUCAUUUAAAGAGUGCGUAACAGCUCACUAGUCGAGCGAUCUGGCGUGGAUAAUAAUCGGGCAUAAACGAUCUGCCGAAGCCGUGGAUGUCGCAAGACAUGGUAGGGGAGCAUUCCAUGCCGCGUCGAAGAUGAGGGAUGACCCUUGUUGGAGCGCAUGGAAAAGCAAAUGUAGGUAUGAGUAACGAUAAGGGGGGCGAGAAACCCCCCCGCCGAAAGACCAAGGUUUCCUGAUCAACGCUAAUCGGAUCAGGGUGAGUCGGGACCUAAGGCAAAGCCGAACGGCGCCGCCGAUGGAAGAAUGGGUUAAUAUUCCCAUACUGCCUCAUGGAGUGACGUGGAGACGGAGAAGUGACAGUCCUGCCGGCUGACGGAAUAGCCGGUUGAAGGGUGUAGAUAUUGAUUCCCGUAGGCAAAUCCGCGGGGAGAGUCGAACCUGAGAGUAUACGGAGCGCUUGCGCAACGUAAUAUGGACGUAACCAUGCUCCCGAGAAAAUCCGCUAAACUUAUCCAUGCGGCACCCGUACCGUAAACGGACACACGUGGUCGGGUUGAGAAUACUGAGGCGCUCGAGUGAUUCACGGUUAAGGAACUAGGCAAAUUGACCCUGUAACUUCGGGAUAAAGGGUCCUCGUCGUAAGGCGAGGCGCAGAGAAUAGGUCCAGGCAACUGUUUAACAAAAACACAUGGCUGUGCUAAAUGGAAACAUGAUGUAUACAGCCUGACACCUGCCCGGUGCCGGAAGGUUAAGAGGAGAUGUCAUCCGCGAGGAGAAGCGUUGAAUUGAAGCCCCGGUAAACGGCGGCCGUAACUAUAACGGUCCUAAGGUAGCGAAAUUCCUUGUCGGGUAAGUUCCGACCUGCACGAAUGGUGUAAUGAUCUGGACACUGUCUCAACCGUGAGCUCAGUGAAAUUGUAGUAUCGGUGAAGAUGCCGAUUACCCGCGAUGGGACGAAAAGACCCCGUGAACCUUUACUAUAGCUUUACAUUGAGUUUGGGCAGACGAUGUGUAGGAUAGGCCGGAGGCUUUGAAGCAGGUACGCCAGUAUUUGUGGAGCCGACGUUGAAAUACGGCCCUUCGGUUGUUUGAGUUCUAACUCCUAGGCAGGAGGACACUGUAUGGUGGGUAGUUUGACUGGGGUGGUCGCCUCCAAAAGCGUAACGGAGGCUUCUAAAGGUGCCCUCAGACCGAUUGGUAACCGGUCGUAGAGUGUAAUGGCAUAAGGGCGCUUGACUGGGAGACAUACAAGUCGAUCAGGUAGGAAACUAGAGCAUAGUGAUCCGGUGGUUCCGCAUGGAAGGGCCAUCGCUCAAAGGAUAAAA